rnacentral:rRNA from 1 species
CCUACGGGAGGCUGCAGUAGGGAAUCUUGCGCAAUGGGCGAAAGCCUGACGCAGCAACGCCGCGUGAAUGAGACGCCCUUCGGGGUGGAAAGUUCUGUUUGUUGGGGCGAAAAAUGACGGUACCCACAGAUGAAGCACCUGCUAACUCCGUGCCAGCAGCCGCGGUAAUACGGCGGGUGCAAGCGUUCUCCGGCAUCAUUGGGCGUAAAGAGUUCGUGGGCGGCAUGUAAAGUCAGGUGUUAAAGGCGCAGGCUCAACCUGUGUAUGGCACUUGAUACUUGCAAGCUGGAGUGCGGUAGAGGUAAAGGGAAUUCCUGGUGUAGCGGUGAAAUGCUCAGAUAUCAGGAGGAACAUCGGUGGCGUAAGCGCUUUACUGGGCCGUAAUUGACGCUGAGGAACGAAAGCCAGGGUAGCAAAUGGGAUUAGAUACCCGAGUAGUC